rnacentral:rRNA from 1 species
UGGGGAAUAUUGCACAAUGGGCGCAAGCCUGAUGCAGCCAUGCCGCGUGUAUGAAGAAGGCCUUCGGGUUGUAAAGUACUUUCAGCGGGGAGGAAGGGAGUAAAGUUAAUACCUUUGCUCAUUGACGUAACCCGCAGAAGAAGCACCGGCUAACUCCGUGCCAGCAGCCGCGGUAAUACGGAGGGUGCAAGCGUUAAUCGGAAUUACUGGGCGUAAAGCGCACGCAGGCGGUUUGUUAAGUCAGAUGUGAAAUCCCCGGGCUCAACCUGGGAACUGCAUUCGAAACUGGCAGGCUAGAGUCUUGUAGAGGGGGGUAGAAUUCCAUGUGUAGCGGUGAAAUGCGUAGAGAUGUGGAGGAAUACCGGUGGCGAAGGCGGCCCCCUGGACAAAGACUGACGCUCAGGUGCGAAAGCGUGGGGAGCAAACAGG